AAAACUUUCAACAACGGAUCUCUUGGUUCCAGCAUCGAUGAAGAACGCAGCGAAAUGCGAUAACUAAUGUGAAUUGCAGAAUUCAGUGAAUCAUCGAGUCUUUGAACGCACAUUGCGCCCCUUGGUAUUCCGGGGGGCAUGCCUGUUCGAGCGUCAUUA
rnacentral:rRNA from 1 species